GCGGGAACACAAGUCUCACAGCUUCAUGCCGGUUAAAGAAGCUGUUGAAAUCUACAAGGAUCAGACGAAAACUUCCAUCCAGUUUCUCACAAAAAAGAAAUCAAAGAUCCAGCGAAUGGAGAAGCAACAGAAACAGAAGUUUUCUGGAGUUCUGGAACACUCACACACCCUUCAGUCCAAGAUCACAUCCCAGAUCGGAAGAGGGU